UUGAAGUGCCCUUUCUCUUCUGUCUUCUCCCGCGCGAAGUCUCUCUCUCACAAAAAUCGCUCGAUAGCAUCCGGCACGACGCCUCCACUGUCCUCGAGACAGCUGCACAAAGAGGCGCCAUUUUGAAAAAAAUUCAGUCGGAGCCGAGGAGCAACCGGUGGAAGUGGGAGGUGAGCUGCUCCUUCGAGACACUCCCUCGACCUCGACCUCCGCCUCCUUCGACGCCGACGACCAGCACCGGCCGAGCGCCCCCCUCGUCCGGCGGUACUCGAUCUCCGCCGCCGCCCUCGCAGCUCCCGCUGGCCUCCAAGGUCCAGUGGCUCGCAAACAAUGUCCAGCUUGCGAGGCAGGAUUACUUGGAGCUGAGACAAGAGGCUAGCGAAGUGCAGGAGUAUUCCAACGCGAAGCUCGAUCGAGUCACGCGCUACGUCGGCGUUCUCGCCGACAAGAUGCGGAAACUAGGUUCUGUGCUUUGUGUCAAAUCAAGUCGCCCUUGAAGGUGAGGCUAGGAUAGCACCGCUCAUCAGUGAGAAAGAGGAAGUUGUUCAAUGAGUUGUUGACGUCCAAAGGGAACAUAAAGGUAUUCUGUCGUUCGAGACCAUUAUUUGAAGAUGAAGGUCCCCCUGUUGUAGAAUUCCUUGAUGAUCUUACUAUCUGUGUUGACACUAGUGAUGAGACCGGUACCAAUCCUAAGAAAGAUUAUGAAUUUGAUAGGGUGUAUGGACCUCAUGCUGGACAGGGUGAGCUAGAAAAUGAUUAAUUUUGUUACAUAACAGGCAGCAUUUGAAAAUUUUUUGGUAUAUACUAGCUACAUGGCUGGUUUGCAUGGAGGUUUGUUAUCUUACAGUAGGACUGGUGCAUGUGCAGUUGAUAUAUUUAAUGAUGUUCAACUGUUGGUUCAAUCAGCUUUGGAUGGAUUUAACAUGUCAAUAUUUGCUUAUGGACAAAGUAACUCAGGAAAGACGCACACUAUGGAAGGAUCUAGCCAUGAUCGUGGUCUGUAUGCUCGUUGUUUCGAGGAGUUCUUUGAUUUUGUGAAUUCAGAUGCAACUGCUACAUCUAGAUAUGACUUUUCUGUCACAGUUUUUGAACUCCACAAUGAACAGGAAAAGGUCGACAAUCCAUUGGAUUUUUUGAAGGUUCUGAAAGACAUUUCAAAGUCGAGGAAAUGAUGAUUUGAAGUUCAAUGUUUCUCACUUAUACGGUUUGAAUUCUACGCACCCUCUCUUGUUGCUUUUCUGGGUUUUGUGCUUUCUUGAUAUAUUAUGAUGACAAUGUUAGCUAGAAACUUCAUUAUGCUGAAGGGUGAAUAACUGUGCAAUUUUUUCAUUUUGAAAGAAUUCAAAAAUAAUUCGUGAGGAUACAAAGAAUGAAAAAUAAAUCUGAGCAAUUAGUACAGAUAUACCGUAAUGUCUACUAUUAUCAAUUACCCUCUUAAACAGAUUCAAUUGAUUGCGGUGCCAAGCUUCUGAAAUGAACAAUGAUGUUUUCCUUAGAUAUUUGGAAAAGCAUUUGUUCAUACCUUUCGUAAUCAGAGUUUCAAGCCCCUCUUGGCUGCUUUAUCACCAUUAGAUGGAUUAGUUUGUUUGGCUGAAAUUAUUUAUAGGUAUUGCAUGGAAGAGGAUGCUACUCAACCUAGUUGUUUACUUUAAGCUGAACACUAGCGAUACACAUGAUAAUUACAAAAUUUUAUACUUGAUUAAGUACACGGCAGUGACCUCUAAUCCUCCCAUGCCCAAGCCAUUGUUCAGUUUUAAUUGAUACUUUUUGACGCAUUCUCUUGUUAUAUAAUCAGGAUCGUGACAAUCCAUAUAUCCUACAACUUGGUUACUGGAGAAAACCUGUAUAGCAAGCUUUCUCUUGUUGAUUCAGCCUCUUUUUACUCGUGGGCCAAAGUGAAAGGCAUUUGACUUGUUUGCUUCCUCUAUUGUUUUCAUGGGCUGUAUUGGCUUUUCAUAUGUGAGGGCUUCUACUCCAUUGACUAAGUUUUUUUCUUAUAUUUUUGGGUGAUUAUGCAAGGUGCUCUUCACUUUACUUCUUUCAUUUGGUAAGGAUACUUUCUCAGAUUUCUGACAUGCUUAUCAUUCUUUUUAGAUAUCAAGUCCAUUAUCGAAAGGAACCACAAACAUGCCAUCUCGGACAAGUAACAACAAUGUUGGACGUACUCUGGAUGUUGUUCCUUCGCCAUUAAGUGCUGAAAAGUCUGCCGGUUCAGUUGCUCUGGUCAAAGCAAGUUCUGAGAAAGUUAAAACUAGACCAGCGGGGGAAUACCUGACUGCAGAUGCUGCGUGAGGCAAAAUGCUGCUCGGAACUGCUCUAAAACUUGAGGAAAACAAGCCUGUAAUCCCAAAAAAGGACUAACUGUUGCCAAAAGUCGAGAGAGUUCUCUUCAAACAAGACCAAGCCAAUGUCAUGCUUCUACACAAGAUAAAACAUGUUGGAUUUAUUUCUUUUUGGAAUUUGUUUUGUGAAUGCAAACAUGUGUCCUAUUACCAGGGUUGCAUGUUUUUGUUUCUUUUUUUCUGUUUAAGAACAAA